CCCCAGCGCCACAAGUUGCAAUCGCUUUUAUUGGGUCUAAAGCGUCCGUAGCCGGUUUUCUAAAUGCCCUGUGAAAUAGUUACGCCCAACGUAACUGCGUGCAGGGUAGACUGGAAAACUUGAGACUGGGAGAAGCAUAAGGUAUGCCAAGGGGAGCGGUAAAAUGUUAUAAUCCUUGGUGGACCACCGAUGGCGAAAGCAUUAUGCUAGAACAGAUCUGACGGUGAGGGACGAAAGCCAGGGGAGCGAUCGG
rnacentral:rRNA from 1 species